CCUACUAGUAGGCUCAGAAGGCCGUGAUCAUCCAUCCAAAUGGUUGAUCACCCACAAAUAUACAAGAGAAGACUCCAGAUCCAAUCCCAGAAUUCCUGCUCACCGGUAAUCGGAAGUCUACUGGACGAAAGCGGCAACGUUGCGAUAUUUCCUGCUUAAUAUUUUCAGAUAUGGGAAAAGCACUUAAGAUGACCCCACGUUUCAGGAACGUUAAAAUUAAGUUGGUGAGGAGGUCUAUCGCUGGCCAUGCAAAGUUUUCUUACCUCAGUCAAGGUCUUCCCCAGCCCAGCUACAAACAGACCCACCCUUCAGACGCUUCUAUUACAUCUCAACUGACUGAACCUGAUGAUGCGACACCAAGCUGUUCUGAGAGUGCAUACAGUAAGGCAAAGAAGAGAGAGCUUCAUGCCUGGGAUGCAGUCAAGGAUGAGAUGCUUAAGAGUGUUUACUAUGAGCCAUCCUCCCUGGGGUUAUUCUUAUAUUUACCUGAAGCCCAUGGCACCCAUGCUGUGAACACAAAGGACAUGAAGAUCAUUGUCAGCACAGGACGGCUCUGCACCGUUACAGUCACCAUGUGUGCGUGUUAACCAGAAACCUGUACUCUGCUGAGAUAUGGGCUCUGACCAGCAACAGCCACAAGCCCCAGACAGACAGCCUUCUCCAUCCCUCUGCUAGAGCUUUCGGUUUCUCUGUCACUGGAGUGUCAGGUUUCUAUUGAGGGUUUUUGUAACACCCCAUAUCCCACUUUAGGCAUCACCACUUCCGACAAAGAGGUUUGGUUGAUAUUUGCCCACAAUUAAAUGAUGGAACAAUAUGCCCAGCAUGUCCAAAGGCGGAUGGAGAUAUGAUUGUCACAUUGGAUGCCAACUUUGGCCUUGUGAGGAAUCAAAGCUAUGGUACAAGUGUGGUUGAUCCAUUACACAGAACCCGCAUGUUUAGAGGAAUACCUGCUAUCACAUCUUGACAGCUCAAAGCCUCAAGAGGACUGCAGUAAGCUGCUCUCAUUCAAGGUCUCCAACAGCUGGAAAGAAAAUGACAUCAAGCCACUGUGAUGUUUCACCCACAUAUAAU